rnacentral:rRNA from 1 species
AGGACGACGCUGGCGGCGUGCUUAACACAUGCAAGUCGAACGGGAGUAUUGAAGAAGCUUGCUUUAGAGAUACUUUAGUGGCGGACGGGUGAGUAACGCGUGAGGAGCUGUCCUAUGCAGGGGGACAACAGCUGGAAACGGCUGCUAAUACCCCAUAAGCCGAGAGGUAAAAGGAUCAAUCCGGCAGAGGAGGUACUCGCGUCCUAUCAGCUAGUAGGUGAGGUAACGGCUCACCUAGGCGAAGACGGGUAGCCGGCCUGAGAGGGCGAACGGCCACACUGGAACUGAGAUACGGUCCAGACUCCUACGGGAGGCAGCAGUGGGGAAUAUUGGGCAAUGGGGGAAACCCUGACCCAGCGACGCCGCGUGGGUGAAGAAAUCCUUCGGGAUGUAAAGCCCUGUUGUAUGGGAAGAGCGGAAGACGGUACCAUACGAGGAAGCCCCGGCAAACUACGUG